rnacentral:rRNA from 1 species
UACGUAGGGUGCGAGCGUUGUCCGGAAUUACUGGGCGUAAAGAGCUCGUAGGUGGUUUGUCGCGUUGUCCGUGAAAUUCCCUGGCUUAACUGGGGGCGUGCGGGCGAUACGGGCAGACUGGAGUACUGCAGGGGAGACUGGAAUUCCCGGUGUGAGCGGUGAAAUGCGCAGAUAUCGGGAAGAACACCCGUGGCGAAGGCGGCACUCGUGGGACGGUACUGACGCUGAGACGCGAAAGCGUGGGGAGCGAACAGG